AUUGAACGCUGGCGGCAGGCCUAACACAUGCAAGUCGAACGAGAGGCGGACGGGUGAGUGAUGUCUGAGAAACUGCCUGAUGGAGGGGGAUAACUAGUGGAAAACGUAGCAAAUACCGCAUACCAUCAGAUGUGCCCAGAUGGGAUUAGCUUGUGGCUGGGGUAACGGCUCACAAAGGCGUCGAGGCCUAGCUGGUCUGAGAGGAUGACCAGCCACACUGGAACUGAGACACGGUCCAGACUCCUACGGGAGGCAGCAGUGGGGAAUAUUGCACAAUGGGCGCAAGCCUGAUGCAGCCAUGCCGCGUGUAUGAAGAAGGCCUUCGGGUUGUAAAGUACUUUCAGCGGGGAGGCGUUACCCGCAGAAGAAGCACCGGCUAACUCCGUGCCAGCAGCCGCGGUAAUAC
rnacentral:rRNA from 1 species